GUCCUCAUGGGCACAUAAUUUCACAAUCAAGUUCUGAAUACAUCUCUCAUUUUUCUACAAGUAUCAAGUUAAGGGACUAAAGCAAGUUGAACAAGAAGUGAGGAUGAGUAAGCCAGAGGUAGCACCAACUAAAACAUUCAGUCCACUAUUGAUGUACAGAGACAGCAGUAUGCAAGAUUUCUUCAAAAGCAUCUUCUACACCCAUGAUCCCUAUCAUCUCGGCAGUUAAGGACAGCAGAUUUGUGGGAUCACCACCAACUACAGUCAAGCACUUAUCCCGCACAGAGGAGAUCGUUAGCAAGGAAACAGGAAGCACAGUCUGAACGGAAAGAAGCUUCAAAAUACCCUGCAUUGGAGAGAAUAUUCCAACUAAAGCUGACAUAAAGGAUUUGGAGACAAACAGCUUUCAGUUCUGGACAAAGAAAAAUAUAAAGAUAUAUGAUAUUAAAACAGACACCAGUUACCUCGUCACCUCACAACUUCUAACUGGGAGAGGUAAAGGUUAACUUGAAAACUUCUCUAGCCCAUUGAGUUGGGACCUCAACACCUGAAAUGUCUCUUUUUGUCACAUGAUUGAAAUUGGACUUUAAUGAAUUGCUUAAAUAAACACUUUUGGGAUUCUCAGUCAUUUGUUGGGUGACCUCAGAGGGAGAGCAGAACUCCAGACGAAGCCAUUAGCCUGCCUCAGGCCCUCCAUCGCUGUUUCCAAGUUGCUGGCUAGAAAACAAAUACUGUGUCUAUGAGAAGGAGGUACCAGUGGGUCCAGCUCACUGACUGUACUGCUAUUGGACGUGGACCUCCAGGAAAUUGUAACUCACAUGAACUGGUUUUUCUAUACCUCUGGAUUUACCAGAUCUUGAAAUUUAUAAUCUAGCUCCUCUCCUGCCUUGUCUUCCUUAGUUUCCAAAGAACUUGUGUUUGUGAAUGGAUUUAGAAGUAAUUCCCCACACUUUGAAUGUUUUGAUAAUAAACUCUACCUGUGAUUUGUUUCUGCUGUGGAUUUAUUUCAUAAAUUGGAAUCCAAAAACCAGAGUUUGGGAAAUAAUUUCUGGCCUAUCUCAUUAAGGGACAGAAGAGAAAAAGGAAACGUGUAAAUCAAGCAAGACCUCGUUGUCUGGAGGUUAA